AGUGCAAUUGCUGGGUCAUAUGGUAAUUGCAUGUUUAGUUUCAUAAGAAACCACCAAACUGUUUUCCAAAGUGGUUGUACCAUUUUAUAUUCCCACCAGCAAU
rnacentral:pre_miRNA from 1 species